UAAGGAAUAUUGGUCAAUGGACGCAAGUCUGAACCAGCCAUGCCGCGUGAAGGAUGAAGGCCCUCUGGGUUGUAAACUUCUUUUAUCUGGGACGAAACACUCUUUUUCUAAAGAGCUUGACGGUACCAGAGGAAUAAGCACCGGCUAACUCCGUGCCAGCAGCCGCGGUAAUACGGAGGGUGCAAGCGUUAUCCGGAUUCACUGGGUUUAAAGGGUGCGUAGGUGGGUUGGUAAGUCAGUGGUGAAAUCUCCGUGCUUAACAUGGAAACUGCCAUUGAUACUACUGGUCUUGAAUUUUCCGGAGGUAAGCGGAAUAUGUCAUGUAGCGGUGAAAUGCUUAGAUAUGACAUAGAACACCAAUUGCGAAGGCAGCUUACUACAGGAAUAUUGACACUGAGGCACGAAAGCGUGGGGAUCAAACA
rnacentral:rRNA from 1 species